UACGGAGGGAGCUAGCGUUGUUCGGAAUUACUGGGCGUAAAGCGCACGUAGGCGGCUUUGUAAGUUAGAGGUGAAAGCCCGGGGCUCAACUCCGGAAUUGCCUUUAAGACUGCAUCGCUUGAAUCCGGGAGAGGUGAGUGGAAUUCCGAGUGUAGAGGUGAAAUGCGUAGAUAUCUGGAGGAAUACCGGUGGCGAAGGCGGCAUCCUGGACCGGCAUUGACGCUGAGGAGCGAAAGCCAGGGGAGCAAACGGG
rnacentral:rRNA from 1 species